rnacentral:rRNA from 1 species
GAGUUUGAUCAUGGCUCAGAUUGAACGCUGGCGGCAUGCCUUACACAUGCAAGUCGAACGGCAGCAUGAUCUAGCUUGCUAGAUUGAUGGCGAGUGGCGAACGGGUGAGUAAUACAUCGGAACGUGCCCUGUAGUGAGGGAUAACUAGUCGAAAGAUUAGCUAAUACCGCAUACGACCUGAGGGUGAAAGUGGGGGACCGCAAGGCCUCAUGCUAUAGGAGCGGCCGAUGUCUGAUUAGCUAGUUGGUGGGGUAAAGGCCCACCAAGGCGACGAUCAGUAGCUGGUCUGAGAGGACGAUCAGCCACACUGGGACUGAGACACGGCCCAGACUCCUACGGGAGGCAGCAGUGGGAAUUUUGGACAAUGGGCGAAAGCCUGAUCCAGCAAUGCCGCGUGUGUGAAG